rnacentral:lncRNA from 1 species
UUCCCAUUAUUACCCUAUGGCCAGCUCUCUGAGACGGCUCUGAAGCUUCUGAGCUGCUUCGGCUGGAUUGAGGUGGAAACCCAGUCUGGAGCUCUGGAUCGGGUUGUGGCCAUCCGAAGCUGCCGGAUUGGAUUGCUGCUGAAUCACACAGGCCUACUAGACAAUUUAUCAGACUUCUAGCACGAAGGACUGCUGAAGGGCCAAGACAGCGG